GGGCCCGCACAAGCAGUGGAUUAUGUGGUUUAAUUCGAAGCAACGCGAAGAACCUUACCAGGGCUUGACAUCCUACUAAUGAAGUAGAGAUACAUUAAGUGCCCUUCGGGGAAAGUAGAGACAGGUGGUGCAUGGUUGUCGUCAGCUCGUGUCGUGAGAUGUUGGGUUAAGUCCCGCAACGAGCGCAACCCUUAUUGUUAGUUGCUACGCAAGAGCACUCUAGCGAGACUGCCGUUGACAAACGGAGGAAGGCGGGGACGACGUCAAAUCAUCAUGCCCCUUAUGUCCUGGGCUACACACGUAAUACAAUGGCGUUUAACAAAGGGAGGCAAAACCGCGAGGUGGAGCAAAUCCCAAAAAGGCCGUACUCAGUUCGGAUUGCAGGCUGCAACUCGCCUGCAUGAAGUCGGAAUUGCUAGUAAUCGCGGAUCAGCAUGCCG
rnacentral:rRNA from 1 species